rnacentral:rRNA from 1 species
GACGAACGCUGGCGGCGUGCCUAAUACAUGCAAGUAGAACGCUGAAGGAGGAGCUUGCUUCUCUGGAUGAGUUGCGAACGGGUGAGUAACGCGUAGGUAACCUGCCUGGUAGCGGGGGAUAACUAUUGGAAACGAUAGCUAAUACCGCAUAAGAGUAGAUGUUGCAUGACAUUUGCUUAAAAGGUGCAAUUGCAUCACUACCAGAUGGUCCUGCGUUGUAUUAGCUGGUUGGUGGGGUAACGGCUUAACAAGGCGACGAUACAUAGCCGGCCUGAGAGGGUGAUCCGCCCCCCCGGGACUGUGGCACCGCCCAGGCUUCUACGGGAGGCAGCAGUAAGGAAUCAUCGGCCAUGGGCGGAAGUCUGACCGAGGAACGCCGCGUGGGUGAAGAAGGUUUUCGGGUCGUAAAGAUCUGUUGUAAGAGAAGAACGAGUGUGAGAGUGGAAAGUUCACACUGUGACGGUAUCUUACCAGAAAGCGACGGCUAACUACGUG